UACGGGGGGGGCAAGCGUUGUUCGGAAUUACUGGGCGUAAAGGGCUUGUAGGUGGCCAACUAAGUCAGACGUGAAAUCCCUCGGCUUAACCGGGGAACUGCGUCUGAUACUGGAUGGCUUGAGUGUGGGAGAGGGAUGCGGAAUUCCAGGUGUAGCGGUGAAAUGCGCAGAUAUCAGGAGGAACACCAAUUGCGAAGGCAGCUCGCUGGGACGUUACUGACGCUGAGACGCGAAAGCGUGGGGAGCAAACAGG
rnacentral:rRNA from 1 species